AUAUUGGGGAGCUUUUAGAAAGGCUGAGAGGGAAUUGUACAUUCCGACCCAUGAACCUGAUACGGAUAAUGCCGGCGUAGGAAAUAUGAAAAUAU
rnacentral:ncRNA from 1 species